CCUGGCUCAGAUUGAACGCUGGCGGCGUGCUUAACACAUGCAAGUCGCGCGUGAAAGGACUUCGGUCCGAGUAAAGCGGCGCACGGGUGAGUAACGCGUGGAUGAUCUACCCAUGAGUUGGGAAUAACGGCUGGAAACGGUCGCUAAUACCGAAUACGCUCCGAUUUCAUCUUCGGGGGAAAGGUGGCCUCUGCUUGCAAGCUACUGCUCAUGGAUGAGUCCGCGUCCCAUUAGCUAGUUGGUGGGGUAACGGCCCACCAAGGCGACGAUGGGUAGCCGGUCUGAGAGGAUGACCGGCCACACUGGGACUGGAACACGGCCCAGACUCCUACGGGAGGCAGCAGUGGGGAAUAUUGCGCAAUGGGCGAAAGCCUGACGCAGCGACGCCGCGUGAGGGAUGAAAGGUCCUCGGAUCGUAAACCUCUGUCAGGAGGGAAGAACCGCCACGGUGCUAAUCAGCCGUGGUCUGACGGUACCUCCAAAGGAAGCACCGGCUAACUCCGUGCCAGCAGCUGC
rnacentral:rRNA from 1 species